rnacentral:ribozyme from 1 species
AUGCUGAUAAUGGCGACGACGAGGUCGAUAAUGCUGAGUCACGCAAAUGUUGGUUUAUCCGUGAGCUCAACAAGAAUAUGCCCUAUCAGAUUGUGGUUGUAAACAACAAGUUAUG